CAACGUCCACGGACGGAGUCGUUACGAAACGGCACUCGGGAUCGCAAAUUACGGAACGGCGGCGGACGUGUAUCGUUUACCAGCGAGUUAUGUCAGAAUGGCUUCGUUGCUGGGCAACAAAACCCAAACUAGAGAUACGUGACCUCCGGAAAACAAAACUACCAAAUAGAUCGAAAUUUUUAAAUGAGAAAAUGCCAUUCUCAUCGAGCACCGUGUAGCAAUUCCGACAAAACGAUCGUUGGCACUAACGACUGGGGACCUAUGAUGAGGUUCCCUUGAGUGUGAUCCCGUGCAGAUCCCAGCCCCAGUAUAAGAGUAUUACAAUGAUGCCAAUUAAUAAACUUACGUUACGGUAUUGUGUGGACAGACUUAGGAGGCGGUGGUGCAUACACUCCUCGCGAGUAACUGCAACAGCGCAAACUAAACAAGCGAGUCGCGCCAGGUUGCCAGUUCUACACCAGGCAGACACUCCCCACCCACUUUGUUCUCGGCGUCAACUUCGGAAACGGCGACGAAAUUAUAAGGAACCACGGAGACAUGACGGGUUCGAAGGCUACGUUAAACGAUACGAUGAAGUGAAAAUUACCGUAACUCGGAAAUAAUCGGUGUAACAACGACAUAUGUAAAAGUUAUCGACCGAGAAGUUCACGUCGCGAGAUUAUUCUUCCCGUUGCUGCUAACGCAUGAACUUCCGACGCGUACGAGGCGGUCGUUAACGCGAAUUUCGUAAGUAUCCUGAGAUAUUAACGCGAGGGCAGUGUGCAUAGUGAUGAGCUCAACAUGUCGCCUCAUCGGAUACGAAAGUAACGACUCACCCUGGCUAUUGUCUGAAAAUUUCGAAUUCCGGGAAGCCCCGGAUAGCCCCUUUUGAAUACUUCCUCAAUAGUGCAUCUCAUCAUUUCGAAGAACGUUCAUACUUCAUCAAUACAAAACAAACACACGUGCAGCUAUGUGAUGACUAGACGGUUUCGUCAUACACUUAUUAUCAGUAUGUCAACUUUCAAGAACGUCAAAAUUGUUGAGACACAUCUCGAUAUUCCCAAUUUUUUCCUCAACUUCCGAGAAUCUUUGAUUUCGAAUAAUGUAUUCAAUGCCACCUGGAUCGUCGCACGAAGUCGAGCGGUUCGAAAUCACCUCGCGAUAGAAGUACUCAUCAUUCAUACAUCUACCGUUAUCGCGCGAUCAGUAUAAGCAUCAUUACGCAGAACUCAUAGUAGC